GCGAACGCUUGCGGCGAGCCUAACACAUGCAAGUCGAGCGCCUAUCGCAAGAUAGGAGCGGCGGACGGGUGAGUAACACGUAGGUCAUCUACCUCUCGGUGGGGGAUAACCAGGGGAAACUCUGGCUAAUACCGCAUGAGGUCCACGGAUCAAAGCAGCAAUGCGCCGGGAGAUGAGCUUGCGUCCGAUUAUUUAAUCCUAGUUGGCGGGGUAAUGGCCCACCAAGGGUACGAUCGGUAGCUGGUCUGAGAGGACGAUCAGCCACACUGGAACUGAGACACGGUCCAGACUCCUACGGGAGGCAGCAGUGGGGAAUAUUGCGCAAUGGGGGAAACCCUGACGCAGCUACGCCGCGUGGGUGAUGAAGGCCUUCGGGUUGUAAAGCCCUGUCCGUGGGGACGAAAACUGACGGUACCCACGAAGAAAGCACCGGCUAACCCUGU
rnacentral:rRNA from 1 species